CAGCAGCCGCGGGAAUACGUAGGUCCCGAGCGUUGUCCGGAUUUAUUGGGCGUAAAGCGAGCGCAGGCGGUUAGAUAAGUCUGAAGUUAAAGGCUGUGGCUUAACCAUAGUACGCUUUGGAAACUGUUUAACUUGAGUGCAAGAGGGGAGAGUGGAAUUCCAUGUGUAGCGGUGAAAUGCGUAGACAUAUGGAGGAACACCGGUGGCGAAAGCGGCUCUCUGGCUUGCAACUGACGCUGAGGCUCGAAAGCGUGGGGAGCAAACAGGAUUAGAUACCCCAGUAGUCCCUGUCUCUUAUACA
rnacentral:rRNA from 1 species